CCUACGGGAGGCAGCAGUGGGGAAUAUUGCACAAUGGGGGAAACCCUGAUGCAGCGACGCCGCGUGAGUGAAGAAGGUAUUCGUUUUGUAAAGCCCUAUUAUUAGGGAAGAAAAUGACGGUACCUAACUAAUAAGCCCCGGCUAACUACGUGCCAGCAGCCGCGGUAAUACGUAGGUGGCAAGCGUUGCCCGGAUUUACUGGGUGUAACGGGCGCGUAGGCGGGUUGACAAGUCAGAUGUGAAAUCCUGCGGCUUAACCGCAGAACUGCAUUUGAAACUGUUGCUCUUGAGUACUGGAGAGGCAGACGGAAUUCCUAGUGUAGCGGUGAAAUGCGUAGAUAUUAGGAGGAACACCAGUGGCGAAGGCGGUCUGCUGGACAGCAACUGACGGUGAGGCGCGAAAGCGUGGGGAGCAAACAGGAUUAGAUACCCCUGUAGUC
rnacentral:rRNA from 1 species